UACGUAGGCAGCAAGCGUUGUUCGGAGUUACUGGGCGUAAAGGGUGCGUAGGCGGCUUUUUAAGUUUGGUGUGAAAUCCCUCGGCUUAACUGAGGACGUGCGGGAGAUACUGUCAGGCUGGAGUCCGGAAGAGGGUGGUGGAAUUCCCAGUGUAGCGGUGAAAUGCGUAGAUAUUGGGAGGAACACCGGUGGCGAAGGCGGCCACCUGGGCCGGAACUGACGCUGAGGCGCGAAAGCGUGGGGAGCAAACGGG
rnacentral:rRNA from 1 species